rnacentral:lncRNA from 1 species
GUCCAGUGCCAGACAGCUUCCCAUACAGCAAAUUUCCCAUCAAGCACUGAAAGCAUGUUUUUUCUACAUCUGGAAACUGUCCUGCUCCUCACUGGUGUUUGAGUGUUGUUCUGAUAUCCUGCUGAAAAGCCUCCAACCAAAAUCAGCCAACACAAAUUAAUAAAUUACCACCAGUCAGCAGGGGCAGAGUAACUGGACGGUGUGUGUUCUUGUCCUGAUGCACCCUACACCUCAACUGAUUAGCUGUAACUCCAUAAUUAAUGUCGAGUGUCCACCUGUGUCUGCUCUCCUCACUGGUACUGCAUUCCCCAUCUCAGAGCCAAAGAAACUCAAGAGGUCCUCCAAUGAGCAAACACAUUACAUAAGCAUGAGGUGAGACUGGAGACUCUGAGAGGUAGGGAUGUUGAAAGAGCACUGAUUUAUGAGAACUGGAGCAAAGUGGUAACUGAAGCAAUAGCUCCUUUUCCAUGAUGCUGCCCUGUGUUUUGUAACCUACCUCAUGGCCACUGGAUGAUUAGGACCUUUCCUGAGUGCACGAUUUCCCUUACCCUCAGUGUUUAUGAUGGCUGGUUUCAAUUAUUCCUUUCCUUCACACUCUGUAUUUCAACCUGCCUCAGAUGAGCAAUUCAUCUACUCUAUCAAAUAACUUACCAAGAUAGAUUUCACAUGCAAGGCAAAUACAUUUUCCUUCCCCUCAUAAUUCCACAACACUGUUUUUUAGAAUUCUGUUUCUCUUGCCUGAUUCCCAGCAAACCCUUACCCAGAGUAGAGCUUUCUAAUGUGCAGAUUGGAUAUAAAAUGCCAUCAGAUAACAGUGACAUUUCCACCUACUCUGUCCUGACCCUUGUGCCACAACUUUUCCCCCAUGUUACCUGAGCUGAUAUAAAGAGUGAGGUCAGAAAACGUUGCACAGGGCUGAAACAAGACCCCACCAUGGAUUGUCAUGUCCAUGUACAUGACUGAAGUAACUGGUGCCUAUGCAGAUUUGUAUGUAGUGGUGUUCUACGUAUGCAUGUGCACAGCAUGCAUGGCCAUGACGAAUGGUGCCAUGAUGCAUGUGAAAAAGCCCAUUUUUUACACAUGUAUUCAUGCUUUGUGAACUUCUGAUAUCAAUUCAUUUAAGAAUGGAGAGAAAAUUAAGAGAUUUGGUGCAUGUAGUUGCUCAUUCUUAAUACUCUUCUGAUCUUAGCAUAGAUGGGACCUGCACAGAUGAGUGAUGAGCGCUUGGAGGGUGAUUCCGUGGUAGAAGCAUCGUGUGGGUCCCAAGUUGGGUAUGGACACUGCUAUGGCACCCAAGUGAACGGAGCCCUGUGUCAGCAAAAAGCGUGAUGAAUAUCCAGGUGAGCUCAACAAGCACUCAGCAGAAUUCAUCUGCAGCUCAUUGAGGCAACACAGAGAGAGUUCAUGGGGAGUUUAUCAUGGGAACUGCUGAGGGUUAAUGGCCAGCAGAACAGAUUGAGCUGUGGGAUUACUAAAUAAUGAACUUUUCUCUCCAAUAAAUUUGUCCCUGACUUAUAAAAAAUCAAUAACAUACUACAUUUCGGGCUUUUUUUUUCCUUUUCCUUUUGGUGACGGUGGGGAAUGUGGGCUCAGAGUAAUUUUUAAACUACUCUUUCAUAUAUAUGUAUAAAUAUAUUUUACUCUGAUCAUUUAUACAAAAGCUCAGAUGUGCCACAUUUACUGCAGCUUCAUCACCUAGAUAGAUUUUUAUGUGGGUGCCCGGCUAUUGCUUUGUUUAAUCAUUCUUUUCUCUUCCCUCCCCAGUCCCUUGCCUCCCCCUUCCCUUCCAUGCUUUUUAUGACACUAUCGCCAGCGCAGAUAUGCAGGAGGGUUUUCAUGUGAUAUAGGAUGUCGGAGAGGUCAGGUCAGCUGGGACAGAGCCAAAAAUAUUAGCACUUUCUAACUGCUGAGGAGAGAAAUUGAAAUAAUAGCACUUAUAAAUUGGCAGGUUUUCAACUGCAGGAGAAGAGAGGGAUUUUUUGCGUGUGUUUAUUUUGUUUCAGAAGUGGAGAGGAGGCGGAUCCGGUUCUUGGCCACAGAAGAGAUGUUCACUGUGCUUUGGGCUCGUGUUUGUGUUAAAUUUGGCCAGGAAGUGGUUGGUGGGCUGGUAUCUGUUCUCAGACACGCAUUUCCUGUUUUUAACCCAAUCUUUCUUCCCUCCAUCUCUGUAUGGAAAUAGAAUUAUAGAAUCAUUAAUGUUCGAAGAGACCAUUAGGAUCAUCAAGCCCAACCACAGGUCCCUCAGAUGACUGCAUAUAGCAAGUCUCCCCAAAAUACAGAGAGACCUAGACAGAGCAGUGGGUCCAUGAAAACCUCACGCAGUUCAACAAUGCAAGGUCUGCACGUAGGUCAUUGAAACCCCACUACUGAUACAAGCGAGGGGAUGUAAGGAUGGAGCGCAGCCCUGCCAAAAAGGACCUGGGGGUACUGGUGGAUGGCAGAUGGACAUGAGCCACUGCAACAGGUUGCCUAGAGACGUGGUGGGUGCCCAUCUCUGGAGCCGUUCAAGGUCAGGCCGGAUGGGGCUCUGAGCUGUGGGCGUCCCUGUUCAUUGCAGGGGGUUGGACAAGGUGACCUUUAGGGGUCCUUUCAACUCAAACCAUUCUAAUUGAGUGUUUGCAGCUCCCAUCAUCUCAAUGCUAUGUAGAGUAGCCACCCAAAAACAUGUUGCUUCUUCCACCAUAAUAUUGGACAGGACAGUCCUCCCACCACAAGGAGCACCAUGUUUGGGAAUGAAGAUCCUAAAGGACUGUUCUGUCAACCCUUAUAUCUUUGCCUCACCCACCACAGCUCAGGCAAACACCCACAUCUCUGCCCUCUUCACCAAGAUCAGUUUCCGGGCACCAGAACAAUCACUUGAAGCCAAAAUGAACUACCAAGAGUAAACCUAAAAAGUGAGCUCUGAACAAAAAAAUCCCCCCCACAGUUCUGAAAGAAUGACAAGACAUAAAAAAAGAGGUGAAAUUUGAGCCCAUUUCAGCAAACAAGCACAGAGCUUAGACUCUGGCGUGUCAGCUCUUUUCACUUUGCUAUAGAUGCUGAAGUAAAGCAUUUCAUCUUUUCUAAAUUUAUGUAUUAACAUUUUGUUUAAUUUCCAUUUAUUAAUAUUUAUUCAUAUAUAUUUAGAAAUAGAUUUUUAUUUGUAUAUAUUUAAGUAAACAAUACUAAUCUAUUUGUUAUUAAUAUUUCAGGUUUUCACCCCAACAUAGAGUACGAAGCAUCAGGCCUUCCACCAGGACAGACAUCCUAUUUGUAAACACUGCUUUAUUGUAUCUUACUCUCCUCCAUAAUGCUUUUCACUCCAGCAUGGAUGAACCUUCAUGGGAGUUUUUCCAGUGUCACCCUUAAUAAUGAUAUCAUUCUCUUUUUACCAAGACACUUUGCUAGACUGGAAGACAACAGUUUCGUAUCAGUCCCUCAAGACAAGCCAGUAAUCAUCCAACAGACCAUCUCAUCUUCACUGACCAUUCCUGUGAUGGGAGUUGCUCACGUCAGAGGAGCAUUAAAGGUGAGAGGGAACCAGUGUGCAAAGACUGAACUAUGCAUCAGACGUUGGGUGCUGGUAUAGAAUCAUAGAAUCACUGAGGUUGGAAAGACCUCUAAGAUCAUCAAGUCCAACCAUCAACCCAAACCCAUCACCACCAUGCAACUAAACCACGCUAUACAUUGUGAUAUCUUCCCCUUUCUUGAUAACUUCCAAGGAUGGUGACACCACCAUCUCCCUGGGCAGCCUGUUUCAAUGCUUCACCAAAGUACAAGAGGUCCCAACUCUGCUGGAGUAGCUGCAGCCCUUCAGUGCCUCAGCCUUAUGCUCCUGAUUGGCCAUGGGUGUAAUUACUGAACACAACAAACCAAAGAGCUCACUUCUCUGAGUUUUAUUCUCACUCUGGUCAGGUUUCCUGUGGCAGCCUGUAGCUGGAGGUGGCCUAUGCAGAAUUAGCUACUCUAAUGUAGUUCCAACCUCUCACUGUGAAUGCGAGCACACAGCUGAAGAAAGGAUUGCCACAAAGGGUUAGGAAGAAAGGAAAAGGAGAUUAAUGCUCAUCCCCUCGAUCUGAUCCUACUCCCUUUGAAACUUUCAGCAAAGCAGAUUAAGGCUGUAAGCUUCACCAGGCAGGGGGUGUUACUCACCACUGCGUUUUGGAAAGUCAAACAACAACCGAACCCUGAUCCUGACCUCCAUGCCUCGCAGAGAUAAAUUAAUAAUUAAAAAUAAUGCUAACGAUAACAUUAAUGAUGAGGUUUGUGCUGCUAAAUGGGGAGUUUUCUCCAGCAGCAGUAUUUUCCUCUGUGACUGGCAGCUCAUUUGCUGCUAUUGAUGCUCUGAAGCAUGAUGAGGAGUAGCUGGGUGAGUAUUUCUCUAACCAAGCACUUUGGGUCAAAUGCAGAGUGAUCUCAUGCAGUAUCUCACAUGGCUGGCCUGAAAUGUCAAGCCCUGCACUUGGAGCGAGGGGCGAGCAGGUCAGGUCAUGUCUGGUUGUAAAAGGAUUGUUUGUGCCACACUCCAUCCAUGGCCUUGUGUUGGGAGGACCCAAACAAUCCUUCCCUUCAUUCUCCAGCAGAAUGGUAUUUUCGGGAAGACAAGGGGCUGGCAUUAACUUCCUUGCAUCUGAUGAUGUUUUUUUUCCUAAUAUGUUUCUUUUGAAACUCACCCUAUUCCAUAGCUGCAAGUCCAGACCCAUAUCUGCACCGAAGGAACAGAAGAAUCCUUAGGUCUUCCCUUUGCCUGUGUCAGUUUUGCAAUUCAGCUCCAUCAGGACAGCCACAUGAGUUUUACUCUGUAAGGAAACUCCUGCACGGUGCAGAUUGCUGGGGCCAUUCAGAUCCACAUGUUGCUUCUGUGCCUAACACAGCCAUGACUCACUCAGAGGGUGGUGACACACUGAACAGGUUGCCCGAGGAAGUUGUGGAUGCCCCAUCCCUGAAGGCAUUCGAGGCCAGGCUGGAUGUGGCUCUGGGCAGCCUGGUCUGGUGGUUGGUGACCCUGCACAUAGCAGGGGGUUGAAACCGGAUGAUCAUUGUGGUCCUUUUCAACCUUCAACUUUUGCAACCUCUAUGCAAGGGAGAGAGGUGGUAAUAGCAUGUAUGAUCACCUCCAAUAGAUGCCAGCAGUUAUUUCUAUCCAUAGAGAAACAAGGAGCCAGAAUUUGCAAAAUAGGUGCUUUGUACUGAUUGUCCCUCUCUUGACCUUCCAUAGCGUGGUACUCACAGCAACGUCUCCAUUAGCAAUAUUCACCCUCAGCUCCCAUUAUAGUCAAUGGCACUUGCAUGACAUGAUCAAUCUCACCAAAAUUAGCCAAACCAAACCACCCCCUGGGAGUGCUGAUUUCUUACUGAUGUCUGCCAGGUGAGCCAGAAUCGACCAGCUCAGGUGGAAGCCAUUGCAGCUUGCAUGUCUCAGGCUGUGGGGAUGAUCCCUACUCCCUACAAGGGUAGACUUCAAAUCCCUGGAAAUAAUAUAAGUACAUGAAACCAAUGGGGGCUGGAACUCACUAUAACAACUUCUCUGAUCUGGAGAGGAAACCAUUGAUUUCCCAGUUUCCUGGUAUGGAGACAUCUCUUCUUCAGUGUUGUCCUGUCAGAGGUCAUCUAAGAUUGGGGAUUUAUAGGGAAAAUUGCAACAUGGUUGACCUUGACUCUACAAUGGAGGAAACAAUAUCGAAUCUCUGUCCUUCUCCUCAUUUUUUAGCCCUAUUCUGAUGUUUUUCUUGAGACAGCAUGCUGUUGAGGGACCUCAUCAUUUUUAAUUUUUCUUUUCCCCUUCAUCAAGCCAACCAUUCUAUUAUAAAAUGGUGGUUCCAUUUCUUAAUCUUCCUAUUUUCUUCUCAGUGUGUGUUUGCUAAUCAAUUUCACAAGCUGCUGCGUGAAGAGUGGGAAGAAGGGCUGCUCUCCUCCUUCUUUUGGACCUUUUCCCAGAAACUAGACCAAGCCAGUUUUCUCUCUGGUAGCCUGUAGCUCAUGUUAGAUCCCCAUGUACAUGGACAGAAGGGGCUACUGAGGUUGGGGCCUUGUAGCUGAGAAGCCACCACCUCUAGUCUCUCCUUUCGUCAUCAUAUAGGAACAGGUUGCCCAGGGAAGCGGUGGAGUUACCUUCCCUGGAGGUUUUCAAGAGGAGAGUAGAUGUUGCAUUGAGUGUCGUGGUUAGUGGGCAUGGUGGGGAUGGGCUGAUGAUUGGCUUAGGCGAUCUUAGUGGUCUUUCCAACCAUAAUGAUUCUAUUAUCCUUAGGAUGGAUGAGGAGACUUCAUCCAGCAAUUUCCAGCGCACCAUGAUGAAUGGCUGGAGGGUAGCAGGUGACGUCUCAGAGAACAUCUCAAAGGAAAGGACAAAGAUUGAAGCAACUGAACUGCUGUAAGGGCAUAGCUUUUGUCUCCAACUCCACAUGAGUUGCGAGAAGCUCAUAAAUAGAUGAGCAACUCGUAUGCAUUGAGCAACUCAUGUGUAUGUCACUGAAGCUGGAAAUGUUCAAGGAACAUUUAGAUGUUGUGUUGAGGGAUGUGGUUUAGUGAGAACUCUUGGUGAUGGGUGGAUGGUUGGACUGGAUGGUCUUGUAGGUCUUUUCCCACCUUGGCAAUUCUAUGAUUCUAUGAUUGCUACAGCUCAGCGCAGUCUGGAAGUGCUGGAACUCCUUUUCAGCUGCUGGAGCUGAGAUCUCUAAAGGUGCUCAGGUGCCUAAAGAUGCUGACAUGCUUACUAGGCUUUGCAGAAGUGCUCAUUUUUUAAAGUCCUUAUAGUUAUCUCUCUUCAGACUCCAAAGUGGCUCCAGAAAGCUGCUCUGGAAAGUCUACAGAUACAUGAACAAUGUUUUAAUCCUCUGACCAGAGAAAAAUCUCUGUCCUUCCAGCCACCUGGUGCACAGCAGUUCAUAUGCACACCGCUGAGGCACACCACCCUGGAAUGAUUCCUUUCCUCUAAGCCCGUCUAGCCAGCAUGUCAUUAUUAUUUUUGAGUGAUCAUGUGUUUUGAGAUCAAAGGACUUAAAAUAAAGCAAUAGCUGUGUUGCAGCCAGCCUCACUGCGUGGUUCUGAAAGUGUAUACGUGUUGUCUGCCUUGUUGGGAAAGCACAGGAAUAAAGAGAGUUCAGAGGAUACAAAUCAGGUUGCUCAGAGAAGCUGUGGAUGCCCCAUCCCUGGAGGUGCCCAAGGCCAUGAUGAGUGUGGCCCUGGGCAACCUGAGCUGGUGGGCAGCAACCAGCCCACAGGAGGGAGGUUGAAACCCUAUGAUCUUUAAGAUCCUUUCAUGGGCUAAAACAUGCCCAGAACACUAAUCCAGAGUUUCCUCACUCCUAAAAGGAGUUGAGGAUGGACCAUAUAUUGUACGAUCAAGGGACCAAACAGCAGAGAAUUCACUCACUGGGCAGUACAGAAGUAACAUACAACUCAGAUCCACAGAAAGACCCACAGGGAGCUGAACACGUCAGAGCAGCUUCUCCCUCAGCACUGCAGGUAGGAUUUCCUGAAAGACUCACCGACUUUCUGCACCUGCUCCCCUUGGCAUCAAUAAGAGGAGGAGGGGAAAGAAGGGAACUGCUAUUGAUUGUGAAAAUGCAAUUCAGCGGAUGCUUCAAGAAAUCAGAAUCUUAGAAUCAGAGAAUAUUCUGAGUUGGAAGAGACCCACAAUGACCAUCAAGUCCAACCCCUGACUCCACACAGCAGCACCUAAACCCUAUGUCUGAGAGUGAUGUCCCUGUGCCCAUUGCCUUGGGCAGCCUGCUCCUCUGGUGGGGGCCUAUCCCUCCAAUUAAUCCUCCUUCCUCCAUUCUCUGCUUCAAGGAAGUGUCCAGCCAAACCUUCGUGAUUCACGCUAUAAAGAGAUCAAAUCAUGUCAGUACUUCUAUGUUUUGCUGCUGAAAAGGAAGAUUAUCUUUCCUGCCUCUGACAAAAGACCACUAAAAGCAAUUUGCAGACAAUACCCUAGUUAAGAACAAUAAGCCAAGCGUAUGUCAUUAGUAACCAGACAAGUUCAAAGGCAUUUGUACUCCUGCCUGGGUACUCCAGUCACUCUGCUCUGUACUGUGAAAAGCACUACAUGUACUUCCUGAGAGCUCUUCUCCAUCAAACUACCAAUAGAAUGAACCUUUUGUGCAUUUUUGUAUAACAAGAAAUGGGCUUGCAAUUUUUCUUCACGGGUUUAAGUAUUGGGGAGUUUUCUUCCCUGGGAUAAAGUGGUGACAUGCUUGGCCACCCAAUACUCACCAAACAAUGGGGAUAAAUAAAAUAUAUUCAAGAAAGGGGUAUUUAUUAUUAUUAUUAUUACUAUUAUAGCUAUCCAACCAAUCUAAGGAAAAAUAUUUCACAGUAAGGGUGGUGAGGCACUGGUACAGGUUGCCCAGAGAGGUGGUGGGUGCCCCAUUCUUGGAGACAUCCAAGGUCAGGCUGGAGGGGCUCUGAGCACUGAUGGAGCUGUGGGUGUCCCUGUUCAUUGCAGGCAGUGGGGCCAGAUGGUCUUUAAGGGUCCCUUCCAACUCAAACCAAUCUGUGAUAUGCCAUGAAUCCAACCACUGAGUGAAAACAGUACUUUGUGAGAGAAGUGCCAAACAAUGCCAAACAGAUACUGGAGGAUGGUAGCCCUCCUGCUUGCAGCAGUGCUCUGAUGGCUCAGCAGAUGCCAAGCAGCUGGUGCUGCCUACUGGCCUGUGCAAGGGUUCAUGCAUAUCAGUUGUCCCCAUUCAUAUAUGUUUAUGACAGAUGCCCAUCCACUGGACCCUACCAGUCCAAGACAGUGACACUCAAUAACUGCAUCUCUGUCUCUAGGUUUCCAAACAGACAAAAAGCUUUACACAGGCAAGUGGAACGAAACCUUAGGCUUCUCAGAAGCACACUUAUGGACUGUGAAGAAAAUUUUGGCGAUGAGUUUUUCACCCGUGGGACAACAUCCUAUGCAUCAUAGCAAGAAUACAUCGGGGAAAGUGCACACCUGGAAGAGCUCACAGUCUGAAGGGAUUGGAUAGAAACCUCACAUCUGAUGUUGUGCCUGGUUUUUAAAGCAGUUUUGAACACUGGGUAUCAAAAUAUGUUCCCUGCUCUGAAGUUUAAGCAACCUGCUCCUCACGCUUCAAUAGCAAGCUGCACUCAAGAGGACAUUUGCUGCCCACUCCUAUGGAUGACAAAACACAAUUUAUGGGAUGUGUUGUACAGAAAGGAGGCAGCCUUUGCCUCAAGGUGUAGGUAGCAGAUUGACCAAAGCUAGAGGUCAAUAGGCCAAUAUUUGACCAGGCAUGGCUCCUCCUUGCAUCCCGUUUGGGAGCCUUUCUGCAAGCAGAGAGCAGAGAUUGAGAAAUCAGCAAGAUUGGUCACCCUUCCCUUCAUUGCUUAAAUUAUUUACUUUACCGUUUUCUCUUCUCCUGGCAGCUGAUUUGUCAAAGCAAGUGAAGCAGCUAGAAAGAGAGUUGUGGCUGCAGCAGGAAUAUUACAGCAAUUAGAAAGGGCCAUAAACAGUUCUCUACAUAUGAAACUGCUCAUUGAAUUUGACAAGCAGCCUUUUCUUCUUCUCCCCGCCACCAAAUACAAUGCAGCCUCUUUCCCUUUCAUAAAUGCCAGCACUUUUUCUUUCGGUUCCCACCAAGGGUCCCUCACACUCAACACUCAGAUCAAUACAUUUGCGGACUGAAAGGGACCUUUCUCCUCAACACUCAGCCUCUCGCGGACAGAAUUAAGGCUGAUUGAGUAUGUCACAGUCCGACUGCAAUUUAGAGAGGCAUCGUGCAACCGUGCUGUCCUGGCACCGGUCCAGCUGUCAGAUUUAAUAGAAAAGUAGAGCAGCUUCAUCUGCCCCAAACGGCACGCUGCUCUCUGCAGCCACUGAUUUAGGCUUCCUACACGUUACGGUCUGUCACUUGGAAGUGAUGGAUGAGGUACCAGUGGAUGUCUCUUGCUCACUCCCGGUAGCGAUAAGCAAGUAGCAGGUACGUCAGGAGAAGAGCUGAAGGGAUUAUCUUGGGCUUAUUUUGUGUUUGCCAAUACUGAAGGCGGAGAACAUGCUGCCAGAGCAGGAUGUUAUAAAUUAUAUUGUGCUAUAGCAGGUAGGGCUGAAACAUGGUGGCAAUGGGUUGAUGGUUGGACUUGGUGAUCUUAGUGGUCUUUUCCAACCUUAAUGAUUGUGUGAACCUGUUGAGGCUUCUCCAACCUCCAUAAUCAUGGGGGGAGACCUCUACAGAGCUCCCUUCCACUUACAUAGUGUCUAAGGGUUGAACUCUUGCCAUAUGUUAGAAAUUAGGACCAAAGGAGGUCUUGUUGACCUCCUGUCCUGCCAUGAGAUAGAAUUGCCUGUGCUACUUUGCACAACACUGGGUCAUUCAGGUUAAUAUUUCCCCUGGAGAGAAGCAGCAUGAGUCAGAGUACCCACUUGGAAAGGAGAGAUUGGGGUGAUUUGGAGUGGAAUGAUGGAGGGCCUUAUGACAAACUGCUCUGUAAUUACGUUGGCAAAGAUCUUCUGCCAACAAGGAGCAGAGCAGCACCUAGGUGGAUACAGGUGGCUUUGCAUUUCCUGGGUACCUCAAUUUGCUUUGUUUCUGCUCCAGAAGGAUGCUGAUUAACUGUGGGUGGUUCAGGGAAGAGCCGCCUGAACAGCUGAAGGUUUGGGGAUGGGGAUGACAGGAGCAGGGGGAGGCAGAUGAUGCCUGGUGUUACUGAGAAAAGGUUAAGGGGUAAUUUAUCAUUGUCUGUAAGUACCUGCUUGGGAGCAGUAAUUUGAGAUGAGAGCUCUUGAGUCUGUAUCACAAAAGGAUAACUGGAACUGUUGGCUGUGUGUUGGUGUGAGGUGCAUUUUCUGAGACACAGGCACAGCAAAAGGAGUGGGUGGGGGAAAGGCAUCACAGCUGUCAACAGGUGCUCCAGCCCUCCACCUCCAAUGGUUGCAGUCCCCUCUUUCCUUAACUCGGGAAUCCUGCACCUAUUUGCAAAUGACAAGGCUGAUGCAAGCAGAGUAGAAUAGGGUAUUUACCUCCUUCUGCCUAAAAAUCCCAACGUUGCCUUUGCCUUGCAAGAUGGAACAGAACCACUUACAAUCCCAGAUUUUCUACAGCCUGUUAAUCCCAAGAGAUGCAGACAUGUCAGACUUCUUGGCUUCAGGGAUUUCAACCCAAAGGAUAAUUAUGAAAAAACUCCCAAAUUGAUAUGCUUGAUCUUAAGAUUGUUACCACAGCCCCAAUAAUUUUGUUGGAAGUCCCAACCCCACUGAUUAAAUCACGUUCUUAAGCUGCAAUUCUCCACCUAUCUACAGUCAUUCUGUAUUUUGACACAGCAACCCCAGUGAUUUCCUACAACCAUAUCUCCCAUAACAUGCCUGGUUAUUAAUUCUCAGGAUGCAUCACACAGCUUCAGCAGUGAAAAGAUGCCCUCUGCAUUAUGGAAGAUAAAGUUCUUCAGGAAACUCAGCUCAGAAUGCAGCUUGGAGCUGGGAGGUCCCAGUUUGCAGUGUCCACAUGAGAAAAGACUGCCACUUAAUUCUGAAAUCACAAUGUAUUCAAAGUCAUUACGUGCUAUCAAAAAUAUAAGGGAUUACCAGAUGCAAAAUGAGGCAUUUAAUUCUCAUGUCAUCUAAAUCAGAAAUUUUCCCCCAUCACAUUUAAAUGGUGUGAUGAAGCCCUUAUGGGAAACCUGUUUGGCUGAAAAGUCCAUGGCCAGUUUCACAGAUCAACUACUCAGUACAAACCAUGGUGACUUUUCCUCAGCUGGAUGCCAUUAAACAGAGAUCAGUUCCAUUUGCUUUGUUGAAAGAAAGAAAAAAAAAAUAGAGAAAAAUAAAAGCUCUUUUUAGCUCCAACUCUGUGUCUAGCUUUGAGGAGCCUUGUCUUCAGAUAGUUGGAUAGACCAUGGCUGUCUAUGACAAGGACAGGACAGGAGCUUGCACCAGGAGGAGGCUGUGCUGCCACAGCAUUCAGCUCUGCAAGCCCAAACGUUGUGGCUGCCAACGUUCAGGUGAACAAUGCAAUUUACAUCCAAACACUGCUCCUGGGCAGCAGAAUGCAACCAGUCAACCAGAGCAAGGGCUGAUUAUGGGAAACAUCUGGGGUGAAAUGGGAAUUCCCCAUUCUCUAGUCAUUCCCUGGACUAUUUUAGGACAGCUUCUUCAUAAAAUGGAAGUGCAGUCUUCUCCAGAGCCCCACCUGUAUAACCAAGGGCAGGUUGGGCCAGAGGAAUGAAAUAAAUGAGCUUUUUAAUGGGCUUUAAUCACAAAUUGUCCUUCAGGGCUUGAUAGAGGUUUCUGCCACAUCAAAGAGAAAUCUCCUGUCCAUUUCAAGGGGAGAAGAAGCAAACUUGUGAACAGCACAUCAGAAUUAAACCUUGUAAAAGAUCACUGCACAUAGUAAAUGCACUGGUAGUGCUCAGGAGAAGGGAGAGAGCAACUGCUUGGCUGGUGAUUUAUCACACCUUUUGGACCCCCAAACUCUUUUGCAUUUUGACUUCAGAUGGGCUAUAGAAAAACAUGUCUAUAAUGUCUGUGUCCAACUAUCCACUCUUAAUGACCCAGUGGAACACCCAAAACAGGCAGAGCUUUGCCUGUUUCAACAUGAGAGUCCAUCUUCCAAAACAAGAGCUGCAGAGACUAUGUCUGGAUCAGGAGAUAGGGGCUCAUCUUUCCUUCUGCAGUCAUUUGGUGACUACAGCACAUGCCUGAGCGCUAGGAAAUGGUCAGUGAGCAAUGCCUAUCUCUUUUGCCUGUAAUAAUGUAAGCCUGCUUGUCCCUCAUAAGUACUUUGAGGACAUGAUAAUGGGAUAUUCAAACACAGGGAGCUCACUGUUGCUGCCAAUGGGACUUCCCCACUUUAUCAUGGAAGAUGGGAAAGAGUGACUACAGAUUGCACUUUCCUCCUUGCCGUCAUAUCAGGCUUCUGCUCUGCUUCCCCAGCUGGUUAAUACACUGCUUCUUAACUACAUCUCUUCAGAAAUGUCAGUCCAGAUGAUGUCAGAGCUGAAAGAUGACCUCUCAAGCCCUGGCCUGGGAGAGUAUUGGCUCCCUUCCUUAAAUCCACAUUGUACAGGGACUCUACGAGGAAGUCUGAACAGAUCUGUGGCCUUUAGCAGGGCAUGAGAAAGGGAGACUGCUCAGAUGGGAGAAGGACUUAUGGGCAGACAAUGAGGAUUUUUCAUGAUGUGACAUUUUAUUUGCUCUGAUAUGUUGACAUGAGUCCUGUGAGUCAUCAGGAGAGCUGACUUCUGGAUUCUCAGUUCUUAGCUCCUCUUUUGUCUACAGGGCUUGCUUCUUUCCGGGCCUUAGCACUAAUGAAAUUAAAAUCUUUUGCUUCUGAAAGAAUUAUGGGUCUGGCUCAUGCCAAAAUAUUAAUUCUGUGGGAGAAAGGGGCAAUGUAAGCAUCUGAUGGGUGUGUGAGAUGGAUGAGAAAAAACAGAGGAAAAUUUUGUCUUAGUGUCAGGCUCUGCAAUUUUUAUUUUUUGGAGUUAGCUUCAUUUAAGACUAACUGAGCAUCAUAGGCAGUCAAUGGCUUAACAGAUAUCUGUGCCAAAGAACACAUUAUCUGCAAGUGAAAUAUCGUAACGGGUCUAUGUGAUGGAAAGCACUAGAAGGACAAGUUAUAAAUAC